GGGGCUCUUUGCAGAGUCAGAGAGACUUUACAGUCAGCCACCGCAAGUCCUGUGUCUAGGGAAUGAACGCACAUGGAUCAGACAAACUUGUGCCCUCAAGCAACAGAGACUUUGGAGAAAAGCUUCCAACAGACAUGUUAGCGCCUCGUGUCUCUUUCACCCUUCCUGCCACCUGUCUGGCCCUGGAGCAGGAGUUCCUCAAUGGCUGUGUUCCUGGAUGCCCUCAAAUGCAAAAUGGACGCAGUGCUGGCUCCCACCUCUGUGAGCAGAAAAGAAAGGAGCACAGGCCAAAGGCAGAACAUAGCAAGUCACCGCAACGCGUGCCAGCUACGAAGCACACAGAGUGCCAACCCAAAGCAAAAAACCAGACUCCCAACGGGGCAGCCAUUAAGCCUGGCACUUAAAACCAGCAGGAAAAAAGGAAUAAAAACAGGAGGAAAGCAAGAAGAAAAGGGGCAGAAGUCCGACAGCAUGGAUGCGAACAUUGAGAGACUUGCCUACCAACCUAUGGUCUUAACCAGAGAGUGACAGCGAGAAUGAGGUGUGUCCUGGGAAGAGGCAGCCCUCCAGCUUCUGGGCAACCCUCAGUGAAAUAUGGCAUCCAAGGCACGUGGGACCCUGGUCUUUCAUGCUCAGCGCUGAGGCGUUGGCUUCCCCUUUAGCUGCCUGCCUGCUGCCUCUCUCCUGGACAGGCUGUGAUCCCAGACCACACUGGAGGCGGAGGCAAAGGGAAAUGUGUAUCCACACAGACACUUAGCUAAGUAGCCUCCCAAAUGGAAAUAGUCAAUGAAAGAUCUACAGUCAGAAGACCGUGCCCACAGAAAGCCCCUCCUGCCACCCUGCUCGUUAUGGUUAGCUGUCAGUAACCUGCCCGGCAGGGAUGAGGGGAGCUUUGGCACCUGGAGCAGCUGGGUAGAAAUAACUUCCGUUACCGCGAUAACACACAGCAGUGGGGGCGGGAGGUGUGUCCACCGGGGUAAGCCUUCCCAUGGGAUGCCCAUAUCUCAUAUCUCAGCUACUCUUGGAUUCUAACUCAGCUUCCUGUGAACACACUGGGAGGCAGCUGAUGACGGCCCAAAAACUUGGGUCCCUGCCACCUACAGGGGAGACCUGGAUGGAGUUCCUGGGCUCCUGGAUGGCCUGACUCAGCCCUGGAUCCUGGAUUUUGUGGGUGUUUGGGAAGUUAGCCGGUGGAUGGAAGCUCUCUCUCUCUCUCUCUCUCCCCUCUGUCUCUUCCUUUCUUUUUGUCUCUCACCCUCUUCCUGUCAUUUUGCCUUACAAAUAAACAUAAAUAAAUCUCUCUAAAAGAUACAAGAUAAUGAAAAACAGCCUAUCUUUAUUUAAAAGUUGGAUAUCUGGAUCCUCCUGUAUUUUUUGCAUUCAAUUUUGCUUCUUUUUAAAAAAUUUAUUUAUUUAUUUAAAAGAGUUAGAGAGAGAGAGAGAGAGAGAGAGAGAGAGAUCUUCCAUCCACUGCUUUCACUCCCCAGAUGGUUAUAACAGCCUGAGCUGGGCCACUCCAAAGCCAGGAGCCAGAAGCUUCUUCCAGGUUUCCCAUGUGGGUGACAGGGUCCUAAGCACUUGGGCCAGCUUCCACUGCUUUGUCCUAGGCCAGUAGCAGGGAGCUGGAUCAGAAGUGGAGCAGCCUCUCCUGUACCCACAUGGGAGACCAGGAGAAGCACCUGGCUCCUGGCUUCAGGUCGGUGCAGCACUGGCCGUAGCGGCCAUUUGGGGGGGUGAACCAACAGAAGGAAAACCUUUCUCUCUGUCUCUCUCUCUCACUGUCUAACUCUA